UUGAGCACGAGCUUAAAACACUCACGUCUCUGCCAAACACUUCCAGUUUCAAAGGCCACUCGUCCAUCUCCACUCUGUCCCACGCCCUCACAUCAGCAGGUUCCUCGGCUGGGAUCCUUGGAUCUGGGACUGGAGAUAAAUCAUCGUGAAGGGUCCUGAUUUUCCAAGCCAAAAGCCUGCAGCGGCAGCAACAGCAAUGGCAUGCUAAGUUAAAGGGCCAGUCUGCAAGUGGGGAGGUGUAUGUGCAAUGAUGAACACCACACGCCUGUGCUGUUUGUCUUCAUGCCCGCCUGAAGGGUAGGAGGGAUGCAAGACAGACCCAGCUACACUGAGAAAGGAGCAUAAGCACUGGAUAAAGACAGGGUGACUCUCUAACCACCUAAAGGUCACUGAGACUUCAGACAAUGCACACAAGAACUGAAAAGCACCUCACCUUGACAAGCGUCGGUUUCUACAUCAACAAAAUGACACAAGAGGACCAGGUGGUUUAUAAGAUGUAAAAUGAAGCUGCACUCCUAUACCUGCCGGCAAGUAGACCGGUCUGCACACACCCUGGGGAAAUAUGCAUUGCACCCCGCAAGCGACCUGGAAUACGUUUCGCUAAAAUCGACAGGAAGAAGUCAGAAUUUUACAUGGUGCCUCAAAAUACAAAACAGAUAAAGGAGAUCUUCAAGCUGUGUUGGAAGGGUGAGUAGCGCAUCCAAAACCCUGCUUACCUGUCCUUUCUCUUGCUCCUCUCCUCCCACCAAGGCAGCUUCUGAAGUAACUCUGCAGAACCCUAGAACAGACACUGAGCCCUGUGUCACUGAGUUGUUAGCAGCUGUCAAGUCAGCCCGACUCAUGGGCUCCCAUGUACAACAGAACAAAACACUGCUUGAUUCUGCUCCAUACCCAUGACCAUUGUGGAUUAGACUGUUGUGAUCCAGAGAGUUUUCACUGGCUGAUUUUAGGCAGUAGGUAGCCAGGCCUUUCUUCCUAAGUCAUCUUAGUCUGGAAGUUCUGCUGAAACCUGACCAGCAUCAUGGCAACACGCAAGCCCCCAGUGACAGAUGAGUUGUGGCUGCACAUGAAGUACAUCAGGCAGAAAUGGAACCCAGGUCUCCUGCAUGGAAGAACCAAGCAAUGAGACUCAGGGAUAGAGACCAGAGCAGAAGGAAAGAAGUGGUACACAGAGUAUUAUCUAGGGAGGACAGAGCUGAGCAGAUCAUUAUAGUGAAGCAUCUGGGUCAAGGUGAGCUGUACCAGAUCACAAGCAAGAAGAGAAGAAAGGCUGGGCCACUUGCACCUAACACCUGCCUCAAGUGGUUUCCAAGGAAGAAUAAAGAAGAAAAUUAUGAACUCGGUUAAUGAGUUGACACUUUCCUGUCCCUCACCUGAGGGCCUGAACAAACACACCUGUUCCAGCAUCCCUUCUCAUUGUCUAUGCAAUGCCUACUUUUGCUCUGCAGAAGCCUAGAAACAGGAACCAGGUUUUCUGGCCUUUGCUUAAGCUAUAACCUUUCCAGGCUUACCUCAGGAUGGAUGUCUGUUGAGCAGAUGGGGUUGUGAAAUUUCCCAAGAAGAGGAAGCCUCUGGCUAGAACAACAAGCAGGGCCAACCAUGAGGUCAGAGCAGGCGUGAACACCAUGCUGUCACCCGAGUCUCAAGGGUCCUUCAGCGCUCUGUACUUCAGCCUUUGUGCCAGCAUGGAGGCGACCAAAACUGUGGGCGAUCCACAUUGGGGUCAGAGGCCUAUUUGAAUUUAGGUGAUGGGGAGAGAGAUUGAGAAGGGAUUAAAAUAGACUAAGAAACUGACCAAGUACUUAGGUUGGUGCAGGUAGCCACCCUUGGUGGAGAUUGAGAAGCUGGUUCUCAAGUCGGCAGGUUCAGACAUCCAUUUUACCAAACCACAAGCAUUGAUUUGGGUUUGUCAAUUUCCUGGAUAACUUCCACUGGUCUGUAAGACAUUCUCUGCCCUAUUUCACCCUGUUCUGUGCUCCAGGAAGCUGCUCUGUAUGGUCUGCAUCAAGAGGCUCCCUGACCUGCUGGCUUCCAGUUGGCUUUGGCCCAUUGGAGGCACUGGCAGGACAUCACAGAGUGGCAAAAAAGUGAGGUCAGGGUAUUAUUCCCCCUGAACCUUCCUGGUUAGCCAUGUCCCUCUGCUGAACUCCCAGGUUGCAAUCACGCAUCCCUCUUCCACACUGAUGUCUCCUCUGGAUUCUAGCAACUGCUCCUUCUCCAUUGUCCCUUCAAGCCUAAGGGUGGUAUAAGUUUCUCCCCCUGUUAUUUCCCCAGGAUAUUGCAUUAUCCCUUGUAAAUACUUAGUUUGCCUGUGCCAUCUGUUUGCUGUCACAACCUGAUAUUCAGUCAACAUCUGCCAAACUGAAGGCAUUGAAAUUAAGAUCGGAAUAACUGUCCUUAAGGCAAGUUUAUAUUGCCUGUGAUUUUAUCCUUUCAUUUUAUUAAUUUGGAUUGCAAAGAGAAUGCUCCAAAGGUCUUAAUUUUGAACUAUGUACUACUGUGUAUUGUGCCUGCAAUUUGAAAAAGCUGCCUUAAGAUGAAUGGUAGUGCCUGGGUUAUGUUGUUCUUGUUAGUUGCCAUCAAGUCAGCCCCCGACUCAACGGCAACUCCGUGCACAAGAGAACAAGUCCUGCACCAUCCCCACGAUCCAUUGCAAAUUGGAUCACUGUGAGCCAUAGGGUCUUCAUUGACUGAUUUCCCAAAGUAGAUUGCCAGGCCUUUCUUCCUAGUUCGUCUUAGUCUGGAAGCUUGGCUGAAAUCUGUUCAGCAUCAUUACAACACACAAGCCUCCACUGAAAGACUGAUGGUGCCUAUGCAUGAGGUGCAUUGGCCAAGAAUCGAACCCAGAUCUCCUACCUGGAAGGAGAGAAUUCCACCAUUGAACCAUCAAUGCCUUCACCUGGGUUAUAACCUUGUUAAAUAUAUAUAGGUGUUAGAUAUGCUUGCUUUUUCACUCAAUUGUAUGAGAAUACAAAACUAAAAUUGUACUAAAACAGUAAAAUAUUAACUAUUAAUAGGCUAUAGUACAGUAACUCAGAGCACAGGCUUUAAAGUUAGAUCAAGACUCAAAUCUACCACUUAUAAGCGUGCAGCCUUUGGACAGUUACUUAAGCUCUCUAAGUCUUGGUUUUCUCGUCCAUAACAUUGUGAUAACUGUACGUACUUGUUAUGGUUGUGAAGGUUAAAUGAGAUAAUGUACAUAAAAUUCAAGUACAGCGAGCCCUGGAAAAAUGUUAGUUAUUGUUAUUAGUAAAAUGUUAUUAAAAUGAUAUAUUUUGAUGUAAAUUAUUGCAUAGGGUUGUUUUGAGAGUUUAAUACAGUACGUUAAUAUUUUAAUGCUUACAACAGUACCUGGCACAUAGUUAAGAGCUAUGUAAGUGUUUAUUAAUACAUAAAUAAUACUCAAGUAUAAAUUUAAAAAGCCCAGUCGCAGGGAAGCCAGCACGACUUGUCCAAGGCAAGGUUGUGGAAGCUCCACAGAUACAUCCAAGCUCCCUGAGGGACUGAAUUGCUGGGCUGAGGGUUGUGAGGACCAUGGUCUCAGGGCAACACCUAGCUCAAUUGGCAAAACAUAGUUUAUAAAGAAAAUGUUCUACAUUCUACUUCAGUGAGUAGCCUCGGGGGUCUUAAAAGCUUGUGAACGGCCAUCUAAGAUUCUCCACUGGUCUCACCCCAUUGGGAGCAAGGGAGAAUGAAGAAAACCAAAGUAUGAGGGAAAGAUUAGUCCAAAGGACUAAUGGACCACGACUACCACAGCCUCCACCAGACUGAGUCCAGCACAACUAGAUGGUACCCAGCUACCACCACUGACUACUCUGACAGGGAUCACAACAGAGGGUCCCAGAUAGAGCUGGAGAAAGAUGUAGAACAAAAUUCUAACUCACAAAAAAAAAAAAAAAAAAAAAGGACCAGACUUACUGGCCUAACAGAGACUGGAGAAACCCUGAAAGUAUGGCCCCUAGACACCCUUUUAGCUCAGUAAUGAAGUCACUCCUGAGGUUCGCCCUUCAAUCGAUGAUUAGACAGACCCAUAAAAUAAGACUAAAGGGGCACUCCAGCCCAGGGGCAAGUACUAGAAGGCAGGAGGGGACAGGAAAGCCGGUAAUAGGGAACCCAAGGUUGAGAAGGGAGAGUGUUGAUGCGUCGUGGGGUUGGUAACCAGCAUCACAAAACAAUAUGUGUACUAAAUUGUUUAAGGAGAAACUAAUUUGUUCUGUAAACCUUCAUCUAAAGUACGAGAAUAAAAAAAAUUUUAAAUAAAAAAGCCCAGUUGCCAUCAGUUGAUUCUGACCCAUAGCGACCCCAUGUGUGUCAGAGUAGAACUGUGCUCCAUGGAGUUUUCAAUGGCUGUGACAUUUCAGAAGCAGAUUGCCAGGCCAUUCUUCUAAGGCACUUCUGGGUGGAUUUAAAAGGCCAAGCUUUUAGUUAGUAGGCAAGUGCUUAACCGUUUGCACUGGUAUUAUUUGAUUCCUUUCUCCUUUCCUUUUAAUUAUUCUCAAUCACUUUUCAAACUAACUUUGGAUUUCCCUCCAGGCUUAAAUAGACAAGAAUCUCCUAAAAGACCUUCUAACUUCAUCCUGAAUUUUUUUCGUGGAAUCAAAAAGCCUUUCUGUGCAUAUGCCUGUUUGUUUUAAUUUCUGAUUUUUAAGCAUCAGGUCAGCUUAAGAUCAAAAGCUAUUUUAAGCAAGUUUUCUUGAAUAUUUUAUUUCUCACACUGCUGAGUGUUAGCUAUCCAACCUCUUACUUUUACCCAUGCCAGCAACAUUACAGGAGAAACAAGUAGUUAGGAAGAAAUGACCUGGGGGGCCCUGAGCUACUUAUCGUUUGUGGGCUGUGGGAAUAUUGUGUGUUAAUUUAGGGAUUUUUGCCCAUCAAUUUCAGAUACAAUUCAGGAUAGUGACAGGAUAAAUACUUUCUUAGCAAAAUAAGGCCAGGAUUAUUGCUCUCAGGAAAGUGUCAAAUUUAUGAUAAUAAGGGAAUAGGAAUUUAUUUAGACUAGGAAAAGGGUUUUGUGACUAAGUGACUCCUUGAGUUGAUGAGAUGCAUUGAGUUAUAGAUACACCAAGAGUAAGCACCCUUGUCCCUUCCUAUAUCCUCAGGACUAGUGCUUGAACUGCUUCCUUAUCUGGAAGGUCCCAUGGACUCUGACACCAGGGCCACAGUGUCACAGUGACUCUGUGACUCCUGCACAGUAACUCCGCCUACACAGAGCAAAGCAGCAGUACUGUGUGUGGAUGAAGCCACCAACAUCCUGGAAGGCCGAGCAUGUGAAAUUUGCCAUUUACAGGAAAAAACUUAGGGAGACUGAAAUUUGGCUAUUUCUCUACGGGAGAUGAUCGAUUCCAAGGGAAAAGGGAAUUAGGAAGGGGAAUCAGAAGGAGAAAGGGGUUAAAAGGAGACGGCUAAUGAAAAUGAGAAAGAAGAUACAAAGUUCGGAACAAGGGACUAUCCAUGAGGGACACCCUCUGUAAGCCUAAGCAAUAAGGGCCAACCCUUGGUAUAUAUGCGUAGCACAAAGGAGCACGUUAUCUACGUAAGGCACAACGCUUGAUCUCCCAUUGUCUCCCUCUCCCAGUAUUACUUAGGAGUCUUCUGAAUAUAAACAGUAGAAACAAAAACAAGUUUAAGUGUAAAAAAGAAUAUACGGGCUCAUGUAACCAAAUUCAAGAGGUAAACUGACUUUAAGCACAGCUGGA